GUAAUUUUGUUUAUCGCGAAAUCUGUAUCUUUCCAAUUGUUCAGUGAUUACGGUAUCGCGGUUUAAUGACGACCUUACAAUAUUGCCGUUAAAAUGCUGUUAACUAUUGUAUACAGUGGCCGCGCCCUUUCGGAAUUAGUCGUGAGUUUUUCUUUUCGACCAGCCGCGGAUCCAUAGCGGAGGUCACAUCGAAUAAUGUUUGGCUCUCGGUGGAUUUACGUCUGUUUGUUCG